rnacentral:lncRNA from 1 species
CCUGGCCUCUGAAGACUUCUUAUCUGUCCUUUUGAUAAGAUUAAGGCAGGGCCCAGUUGAUCUGCAGAGCUGGAUGUGCCCUGAGGCCAAAACCUGAGAAGGGAGGGGGGCCAAGAGUAUUCUGGCUGCUACUAGGCUGCUUUCUCUGAGCUUCUCCUCCAGCUGCCUCCCUGACGCCUGUGUUGAAUGUCCUGAGCCUGGCACCGCUGUGACUGCAAGGGUCAAAAGGUAGCACUUCCUCGCAACUGCCUCUUGGAACCCCUAGCUCCCUUCAAGGCUCAACCGAAGGACCAGCUCCUACAAGAAAUCUUCCUUGAUUUCUCAAAAUGUGGAUUUGUGAUCUCCCUGAUAUGGUCAUUCUCUUCAACUGAACAGACUGAAGCCCGUCCAUACCAAGCUUCCUUUGUGAUCCUCAUUCAUUUAUUCAUCAUCUGGCUUGGGUAAAGAAUCCAUUACUUUCCAAUGAUGUGAUUUUCUGAUCUUUAGUGAUCUGAAAGAGCCCAUAAUUGGGUCUGGAGUCUAUUAGGAUUAUUUAGAAAAAACAUCAAGAGGUGAGGAACAUCAGGGACAAGAGAGGAGGCUGCUACUGAAACCUAAUGAUUAGGA